rnacentral:ncRNA from 1 species
GUGGGUGAUAACAUCAAAUUUGUAUGAUUUUUAAUUUUUAUUAAUUUUUUAACACAUCUGUUAACGUGAAGCCAUUGUUUUAAGGGCCUAUUAUGGUGAGAUUACGAUACUUACUCACUAGAUUGAAAGAAAAAGAAAGCGGGUCCCAUUCCUGCCUGUUGAGUAGCCUUGUGCUCAUCUUGAUAAUAGAAACGGUCAUAAAGAAGCCGUCGGGAGAUACCGGAAGAGUUUUCUUUUCUAUUUGAUAAUCGUACUAGUAUGCGAGUCUUUCAAAGAGAGCUGACAUGGUAGGUGGGUUACAAGAGCAUGACAUUUAAAGUUGUGUCGAUAUUCGAUCGGACCUUGAAAAUAUACAGUGGGAGGUCAUGCAAACUUCUCAACAGGCUGUACCAAUGUCCGCAGGCAGUCUCCAAGGCGAAGAGUUUCC